AGUGGAGACUGGAUCUCCCGAGUGAAACCACCUGGUGUGUUGCCCUCCCUUCCUACCCCAUUUUCCACACAUCUAUGCACUCAGUGACCAUCUCUGGCCCUGGCCACAUGCCAGGUCACCUUGGGUUUUCCUCACAUCGAAACAGCUUCAGUAGGCCAACACGAAGCAGCGCCUUGGCUGCAACAACUCAGUUAAGCCAUUACAAAGAUGUUCCCGCUCCAUCAUUUAGCUGGAGGAAAAACAGCCAUGUGACAUCAGUACUGCACUGUACUAUAUAAGAAAAUAACGUCACUCUGUGUUAUGAGAUCAUUAACAUACUACAUGGCAGAGAUGUGGGGGUACCCUGCCACCGUUCCAAUACAUCCAUCAGGGUUUUCCUUCCAUUUGGAAAUGAGGUCACCUUUUAAAUGGCAACAUGAGUCAAAUGUCAAACCAGGUUGGGUCAACUGCAGGAAUAUCACCCGGCGGUCUGAAAUUACUUACUGGGUCCGUGUGUGUGUGUAUUUGCGUGAUUGCAAACAGCGGUACAAAAGAGUGAGUGUGUAAGUUAAAAUAGAGUGUGAGACCAGCACAUCGUCCAAAUAAAACAG